CGUAAUAGCUCACUGGUCGAGUCGGCCUGCGCGGAAGAUGUAACGGGGCUAAACCAUGCACCGAAGCUGCGGCAGCGACACUAUGUGUUGUUGGGUAGGGGAGCGUUCUGUAAGCCUGUGAAGGUGGCCUGUGAGGGUUGCUGGAGGUAUCAGAAGUGCGAAUGCUGACAUAAGUAACGAUAAAGCGGGUGAAAAGCCCGCUCGCCGGAAGACCAAGGGUUCCUGUCCAACGUUAAUCGGGGCAGGGUGAGUCGACCCCUAAGGCGAGGCCGAAAGGCGUAGUCGAUGGGAAACAGGUUAAUAUUCCUGUACUUGGUGUUACUGCGAAGGGGGGACGGAGAAGGCUAUGUUGGCCGGGCGACGGUUGUCCCGGUUUAAGCGUGUAGGCUGGUUUUCCAGGCAAAUCCGGAAAACCAAGGCUGAGGCGUGAUGACGAGGCACUACGGUGCUGAAGCGACAAAUGCCCUGCUUCCAGGAAAAGCCUCUAAGCAUCAGGUAACAUCAAAUCGUACCCCAAACCGACACAGGUGGUCAGGUAGAGAAUACCAAGGCGCUUGAGAGAACUCGGGUGAAGGAACUAGGCAAAAUGGUGCCGUAACUUCGGGAGAAGGCACGCUGAUAUGUAGGUGAAGCGACUUGCUCGUGGAGCUGAAAUCAGUCGAAGAUACCAGCUGGCUGCAACUGUUUAUUAAAAACACAGCACUGUGCAAACACGAAAGUGGACGUAUACGGUGUGACGCCUGCCCGGUGCCGGAAGGUUAAUUGAUGGGGUUAGCGGUAACGCGAAGCUCUUGAUCGAAGCCCCGGUAAACGGCGGCCGUAACUAUAACGGUCCUAAGGUAGCGAAAUUCCUUGUCGGGUAAGUUCCGACCUGCACGAAUGGCGUAAUGAUGGCCAGGCUGUCUCCACCCGAGACUCAGUGAAAUUGAACUCGCUGUGAAGAUGCAGUGUACCCGCGGCAAGACGGAAAGACCCCGUGAACCUUUACUAUAGCUUGACACUGAACAUUGAGCCUUGAUGUGUAGGAUAGGUGGGAGGCUUUGAAGUGUGGACGCCAGUCUGCAUGGAGCCGACCUUGAAAUACCACCCUUUAAUGUUUGAUGUUCUAACGUUGGCCCGUAAUCCGGGUUGCGGACAGUGUCUGGUGGGUAGUUUGACUGGGGCGGUCUCCUCCUAAAGAGUAACGGAGGAGCACGAAGGUUGGCUAAUCCUGGUCGGACAUCAGGAGGUUAGUGCAAUGGCAUAAGCCAGCUUGACUGCGAGCGUGACGGCGCGAGCAGGUGCGAAAGCAGGUCAUAGUGAUCCGGUGGUUCUGAAUGGAAGGGCCAUCGCUCAACGGAUAAAAGGUACUCCGGGGAUAACAGGCUGAUACCGCCCAAGAGUUCAUAUCGACGGCGGUGUUUGGCACCUCGAUGUCGGCUCAUCACAUCCUGGGGCUGAAGUAGGUCCCAAGGGUAUGGCUGUUCGCCAUUUAAAGUGGUACGCGAGCUGGGUUUAGAACGUCGUGAGACAGUUCGGUCCCUAUCUGCCGUGGGCGCUGGAGAACUGAGGGGGGCUGCUCCUAGUACGAGAGGACCGGAGUGGACGCAUCACUGGUGUUCGGGUUGUCAUGCCAAUGGCACUGCCCGGUAGCUAAAUGCGGAAGAGAUAAGUGCUGAAAGCAUCUAAGCACGAAACUUGCCCCGAGAUGAGUUCUCCCUGACUCCUUGAGAGUCCUGAAGGAACGUUGAAGACGACGACGUUGAUAGGCCGGGUGUGUAAGCGCAGCGAUGCGUUGAGCUAACCGGUACUAAUGAACCGUGAGGCUUAACCUUACAACGCCGAAG
rnacentral:rRNA from 1 species